AGGAAGAUCACCUGGGAGCCUCUUCUUCUCCAGACUGAACAGCCCUGGAGCACCUGGGAGCCCUUUGCCAUGGAUACAUCCACGUGGCUGACAUGUGGCAGAUGUUCAAGCCAGAGACAGUACGUAGAAGGUUUGCUGAGAUGGAUGAGAACAAGAAUGCAAACAUAGAUAAGGGAGUCACUUCUGCUGGGGAGAUCGGAGCUGCAUUUUUUUCUCUCUCUAGCCUCUCUGCUGUCUCUAACCUGCAUCUCUCUA